rnacentral:rRNA from 1 species
GACGAACGCUGGCGGCGUGCCUAAUACAUGCAAGUAGAACGCACAGUUUAUACCGUAGCUUGCUACACCAUAAACUGUGAGUUGCGAACGGGUGAGUAACGCGUAGGUAACCUGUCUGGUAGCGGGGGAUAACUAUUGGAAACGAUAGCUAAUACCGCAUACUAUUAAUUAUUGCAUGAUAAUUGAUUGAAAGAUGCAAUUGCGGCGCUACGGGAUGGACUUGCGUUGUAUUAGCUAGUGGGUGGGGUAAUGGCUUACCUAGGCGUGGAUGGGUAGACGGACUGAGAGGGUGACCGGACACAUUGGGACGGAGAGACGGCCCAGACUCCUACGGGAGGCAGCAGUGGGGAAUAUUGCACAAUGGGAGGAAGACUGAUGCAGCAACGCCGCGUGCGGGAUGACGGCCUUCGGGUGGUAAACCGCUUUCGCAUGUGACGAAGCGUGAGUGACGGUAAUGGGUAAAGAAGCACCGGCUAACUACGUG